rnacentral:rRNA from 1 species
AUUGAACGCUGGCGGCAUGCCUUACGCAUGCAAGUCGAACGGCAGCACGGGAGCAAUCCUGGUGGCGAGUGGCGAACGGGUGAGAAUGUAUCGGAACGUGCCCAGUCGUGGGGGAUAACGUAGCGAAAGCUACGCUAAUACCGCAUACGAUCUAUGGAUGAAAGCGGGGGGUCGCAAGACCUCGCGCGAUUGGAGUGGCCGAUAUCAGAUUAGGUAGUUGGUGAGGUAAAGGCUCACCAAGCCGACGAUCUGUAGCUGGUCUGAGAGGACGACCAGCCACACUGGGACUGAGACACGGCCAGACUCCUACGGGAGGCAGCAGUGGGGAAUUUUGGACAAUGGGCGCAAGCCUGAUCCAGCAAUGCCGCGUGCAGGAUGAAGGCCUUCGGGUUGUAAACUGCUUUUGUACGGAGCGAAAAGGCUCUCUCUAAUACAGGGGGCUCAUGACGGUACCGUAAGAAUAAGCACCGGCUAACUACGUGCCAGCAGCCGCGGUAAUAC